rnacentral:rRNA from 1 species
GACGAACGCUGGCGGCGUGCUUAACACAUGCAAGUCGAACGGAAAGGCCCUGCUUUUGUGGGGUGCGCGAGUGGCGAACGGGUGAGUAACACGUGAGUAACCUGCCCUUGACGUUGGGAUAACUUCAGGAAACUGGGGCUAAUACCGGAUAGGAGUUCCUGCUGCAUGGUGGGGGUUGGGAGGUUUCGGCGGUUGGGGAUGGACUCGCGGCUUAUCAGCUUGUUGGUGGGGUAGUGGCUUACCAAGGCUUUGACGGGUAGCCGGCCUGAGAGGGUGACCGGCCACAUUGGGACUGAGAUACGGCCCAGACUCCUACGGGAGGCAGCAGUGGGGAAUAUUGCACAAUGGGCGAAGGCCUAAUGCAGCACCGCCGCGUGCGGGAUGACGGCCUUCGGGUUGUAAACCGCUUUCGCCUGUGACGAAGCGUGAGUGACGGUAAUGGGUAAAGAAGCACCGGCUAACUACGUG